AUUGAACGCUGGCGGCAGGCCUAACACAUGCAAGUCGAGCGGAUGAAGGGAGCUUGCUCCUGGAUUCAGCGGCGGACGGGCGAGUAAUGCCUAGGAAUCUGCCUGGUAGUGGGGGAUAACGUCCGGAAACGGGCGCUAAUACCGCAUACGUCCUGAGGGAGAAAGUGGGGGAUCUUCGGACCUCACGCUAUCAGAUGAGCCUAGGUCGGAUUAGCUAGUUGGUGGGGUAAAGGCCUACCAAGGCGACGAUCCGUAACUGGUCUGAGAGGAUGAUCAGUCACACUGGAACUGAGACACGGUCCAGACUACUACGGGAGGCAGCAGUGGGGAAUAUUGGACAAUGGGCGAAAGGCUGACCCGGCCAUGCCGCGUGUGUGAAGAAGGUCUUCGGAUUUUAAAGCACUUUAAGUUGGGAGGAAGGGCAGUAAGUUAAUACCUUGCUGUUUUGACGUUACCAAAAGAAUAAGCACCGGCUAACUUCGUG
rnacentral:rRNA from 1 species